UAUUUUGUUCUUAUUUCUUGUUGUUAGAUUUGGUGAACAACCUUGGUACCAUUGCAAGGGUGGCACCAAGGAAUUAAUGGAAGCCUUGGCUGCUGGUGCUUAUCUUGUUGCAGAUAAGGUCAUUGUUACAACCAAGCACAAUGAUCAUGAGAAGUAUGUGUGGGAGCCACUCCGAUUCAAUGUUUAUGAUGUAUUUCCUUUUGCCUUUGCGAUUGUACCUGGUGAAACUGUAGACAAU